AUCAACCAUCCACGCACACAGCCAUACAUCCAUCCAUCACGUAGCAUACAUCCAUCUACUCCAGAGGAUCCAUCAACCAUCCACGCACACAGCCAUACAUCCAUCCAUCACGUAACAUACAUCCAUCUACUCCAGAGAUCCAUCAACCACACAGAUCACCAGACCGAUCCAUUCGCCAACGUAGCACACAUCCGUGCACCCCAUUCAUCAAUCACGUAGCAGGAGAUACGUGAAGGCCGGCGGAGGAGAGAAGUACCCGAAGAGCCGGUUAGAUGCUAGAAGAUCUCCGGCGAACCCUAUCACGCACCGGAUCGCCGGUCGGACGAGGGACGCCUGUAUCUACG
rnacentral:lncRNA from 1 species